rnacentral:rRNA from 1 species
CAGGGAUUGCCCUAGUAACGGCGAGGGAAGCGGCAACAGCUCAAAUUUGAAAUCUGGCUCUUUUAGAGUCCGAGUUGUAAUUUGCAGAGGGCGCUUUGGCUUUGGCAGCGGUCCAAGUUCCUUGGAACAGGACGUCACAGAGGGUGAGAAUCCCGUACGUGGUCGCUGGCUAUUGCCGUGUAAAGCCCCUUCGACGAGUCGAGUUGUUUGGGAAUGCAGCUCUAAAUGGGAGGUACAUUUCUUCUAAAGCUAAAUAUUGGCCAGAGACCGAUAGCGCACAAGUAGAGUGAUCGAAAGAUGAAAAGCACUUUGGAAAGAGAGUCAAACAGCACGUGAAAUUGUUGAAAGGGAAGCGCUUGCAGCCAGACUUGCUUACAGUUGCUCAUCCGGGUUUCUACCCGGUGCACUCUUCUGUAGGCAGGCCAGCAUCAGUUUGGGCGGUAGGAUAAAGGUCUCUGUCACGUACCUCCUUUCGGGG